rnacentral:rRNA from 1 species
UAAUACGUACUGUGCGAACGUUAUUCGGAAUCACUGGGCUUAAAGGGUGUGUAGGCGGCUGGACAAGCAGGGUGUGAAAGGCCUCGGCUCAACCGGGGCAUUGCGCUCUGGACUGUCCGGCUCGAGCAAGACAGGGGUGUGCGGAACUUCCAGUGGAGCGGUGAAAUGUGUUGAUAUUGGAAGGAACGCCGGUGGCGAAAGCGGCACACUGGGUCUUGUCUGACGCUGAGACACGAAAGCCAGGGGAGCGAACGGGAUUAGAUACCCCGGUAGUCCUGGCUGUAAACGAUGAGCACUAGACGGGAGGGGUCUUGUACCUUUCCGGUCGCAGCGAAAGCAUGAAGUGCUCCGCCUGGGGAGUAUGGUCGCAAGGCUG